rnacentral:rRNA from 1 species
GACGAACGCUGGCGGCGUGCUUAACACAUGCAAGUCGAACGGAAAGGCCCUGCUUUUGUGGGGUGCUCGAGUGGCGAACGGGUGAGUAACACGUGAGUAACCUGCCCUUGACUUUGGGAUAACUUCAGGAAACUGGGGCUAAUACCGGAUAGGAGCUCCUGCUGCAUGGUGGGGGUUGGAAAGUUUCGGCGGUUGGGGAUGGACUCGCGGCUUAUCAGCUUGUUGGUGGGGUAGUGGCUUACCAAGGCUUUGACGGGUAGCCGGCCUGAGAGGGUGACCGGCCACAUUGGGACUGAGAUACGGCCCAGACUCCUACGGGAGGCAGCAGUGGGGAAUAUUGCACAAUGGGCGGAAGCCUGAUGCAGCAACGCCGCGUGCGGGAUGACGGCCUUCGGGUUGUAAACCGCUUUCGCCUGUGACGAAGCGUGAGUGACGGUAAUGGGUAAAGAAGCACCGGCUAACUACGUGCCAGCAGCCGCGGUGAUACGUAGGGUGCGAGCGUUGUCCGGAUUUAUUGGGCGUAAAGGGCUCGUAGGUGGUUGAUCGCGUCGGAAGUGUAAUCUUGGGGCUUAACCCUGAGCGUGCUUUCGAUACGGGUUGACUUGAGGAAGGUAGGGGAGAAUGGAAUUCCUGGUGGAGCGGUGGAAUGCGCAGAUAUCAGGAGGAACACCAGUGGCGAAGGCGGUUCUCUGGGCCUUUCCUGACGCUGAGGAGCGAAAGCGUGGGGAGCGAACAGGCUUAGAUACCCUGGUAGUCCACGCUGUAAACGGUGGGUACUAGGUGUGGGGUCCAUUCCACGGGUUCCGUGCCGUAGCUAACGCUUUAAGUACCCCGCCUGGGGAGUACGGCCGCAAGGCUAAAACUCAAAGGAAUUGACGGGGCCCCGCACAAGCGGCGGAGCAUGCGGAUUAAUUCGAUGCAACGCGUAGAACCUUACCUGGGUUUGACAUGGAUCGGGAGCGCUCAGAGAUGGGUGUGCCUCUUUUGGGGUCGGUUCACAGGUGGUGCAUGGCUGUCGUCAGCUCGUGUCGUAAGAUGUUGGGUUAAGUCCCGCAACGAGCGCAACCCUUGUUCACUGUUGCCAGCACGUUAUGGUGGGGACUCAGUGGAGACCGCCGGGGUCAGCUCGGAGGAAGGUGGGGAUGACGUCAAGUCAUCAUGCCCCUUAUGUCCAGGGCUUCACGCAUGCUACAAUGGCUGGUACAGAGAGUGGCGAGCCUGUGAGGGUGAGCGAAUCUCGGAAAGCCGGUCUCAGUUCGGAUUGGGGUCUGCAACUCGACCUCAUGAAGUCGGAGUCGCUAGUAAUCGCAGAUCAGCAACGCUGCGGUGAAUACGUUCCCGGG